GCGCUUGUGACCAGACUUGGGCGCGGCGGAUCAUCCGGGGUUCUCUCCGGUGCACUUCGCCGCGUCUAGGCCAGCAUCAGUUCGUCGCGGGGGAAAAAGGCUUCGGGAACGUGGCUCCUCCGGGAGUGUUAUAGCCCGUUGCAUAAUACCCUGCGGUGGACUGAGGACCGCGCAUCUGCAAGGAUGCUGGCGUAAUGGUCACCAGCGAC
rnacentral:rRNA from 1 species